AGCUGAAACUUGUGCGAAAGGAAAAUCAACCCUGCUGGGCCUUGGCAUCCUGCUCUUGCACUUGAGAGAGGACCCUGGAGCGGAAGCUGCAAGGCUAACGAGAGGCUACAAAGUAAAGCCUCCUCACCGCAAAGCGGGACACGGAGGGCCUCGGUCCACGCCGAGUGAAGAACCGAAGCCCGGAGCCCAGAGAACCACAGAGGCCUUGAAAAAACGGAAAAAAGGCCGGCUUCCUCCCGCGUGAGCUCCGUCGCCCCGCCGGACUCCACCCGUUUCCGCUCAGGGUAACCGCAAAACCCUUCCCGCGCGGGAACUCGGCGGAGGAGGAGUCUUGGGUCCCGCCCUUCUGGCGGCGGUGCGCGUCCGGCCUACCCCGGCGGCCCCGCCGCGGUGUCUCUGGAAGGUUCUGACGGGAGGAAGCGCGCCCCUCCGCAGGCCGGGGAACACUCGGCGCCAGAUGGCGCUACCGCACCGAGAGCCAGAGAGCACCAGCGCCUCCAGGGAGCGGGGCCGAGCCGUCCCCGGAAGUGCGCGCUCCGCGAGCCUCCCGGCCCGGAUAUCCAGCCUCCUGGCGUGUUCCCGCGCGGGGGCGGAGCUCCAGCCGGAACCGGACUGAGAACGCGGGGCCUCGUGGCGGAAGAGCCAGGCGGGACCUUGGAGGCGGUGACUUCCGCUGCGCGCGCCUGGGCUGGGCGUGCCUGCGAGGGGCGGGGCCUCCGCGCUUGCGCUUGCGCUUGCGCACGAGGAGGGCGUUGUAGCGGGAGGCCGGCGCUCGCUUCUCCAUCUUUGGUCGCUCGCAGGCCUCGCCGGGCGGACGUGAAUGUGGUGACUUUGCGGGUUUUUGUCUUUUUUUUUUUUGAUGCUUCCCACCCGCACGGGUUGGUUUCUGGCUGUAAGUUCCGUUUCUGGACAUCUCUGGGACGUAGUCUCGAGCUGCUCUCUCGCCGUUGAUCCCUCCACGUUCAUCCCAUCCUUGCCUCGUUACCCACUCGGGGCUACCCGUGACAGCUGACGGCAUCUAAGGACUUGGAAAGGCUUAGAGUACGGGCUUUGAAGGCGCAUAAUUUGAGUUUUACCCUUUUUUUUUUUUUUUGCCAGGAUAUUGGCACUCUGCAUUCUGUGGCGUGGCUUUGCACCGCACAGUUUGUUGAGGGUUUGAACGCUGCCAGAGGAAAAGCCCGCCCCUUUCCCACGUUGGCUGUGUCCGAUCCAAACCCAUUUUGAAGUAGAAGGACAGUACUUCACCCCGGUACAUGGGCUUUGUUUUGCUAUUAGAUAUAUUGUGAGGACUAUGGACUUGAAUUGCAGAAAGUAUUCGUGUCCACGUUUAAGUAUACAUACACUUUAGGCUAAAAGACAGUUUCCCAAAGCUCCCGACUUUUCCCAGAAAUGUCUUCAGCUUUUGGUAGAUGCUUUUAGGAAUUUCAGAGGUCCUUGCUGUCAAAGAUUUAAAUAAAGUCAAACAUAAAAAUGUUUUAAAAAAAAAAAAAAACAUUCGCGUGCACAUACACACAAACACAC
rnacentral:lncRNA from 1 species